rnacentral:rRNA from 1 species
GAUUCUGGCUCAGGAUUAACGCUGGCGGCGUGCCUAAUACAUGCAAGUCGAAUGGUAGCAAUACCAUGGCGAACGGGUGAGUAACACGUAGGUAACCUGUCUUUAAGACGAGGAUAACCGUUGGAAACGACGGAUAAUACUCGAUAGGUGAUUUUUAGGGCAUCCUAGGAUCAUUAAAGAUUUAUCACUUAGAGAGGGGCCUGCGGCGCAUUAGCUAGAUGGCGGGGUAAUAGCCCACCAUGGCGAUGAUGCGUAGCCGGACUGAGAGGUUGAACGGCCACAAUGGAACUGAGAACGGUCCAUACUCCUACGGGAGGCAGCAGUAGGGAAUUUUCGGCAAUGGGCGAAAGCCUGACCGAGCAACGCCGCGUGAACGAAGAAGUAUUUCGGUAUGUAAAGUUCUUUUAUUGGGGAAGAAAAAUAUCCAAAUUGACGGUACCCAAUGAAUAAGCUCCGGCUAACUACGUGCCAGCCGCCGC